rnacentral:rRNA from 1 species
GUAAGUCUCAGUUCGGAUUGAAGGCUGAAAUUCGCCUUUAUGAAGCCGGAAUUGCUAGUAAUGGCAGGUCAGCAUACUGCCGUGAAUACGUUCCCGGGCCUUGUACACACCGCCCGUCACACCAUGAGAGUUGGGAAUACCCGAAGUCCAUGUUAAAGUGGCCGAAGGUAGGCUUGAUGAUUGGGGUGAAGUCGUAACAAGGUAAC